GCAUAAUAUAAACAGUUUCGUGAUAUAUAUCCGGAGAAUGGCCGGACGUUUCUACCCCAGACCGAUUUGGGACUAUCGCCAAAACCACACAACCA
rnacentral:ncRNA from 2 species